CCUGAAGCAACUGUCUUGAGAGAAUGGCAGAAUGGCCUUUGAAGACCCAGUCACAGUGCAAGCUAGGUGGGAAUGCCUUGCUGAGCUGAGGCCUAGAAGUCUUAGCUCCAAGGGGAGGAAUGAUUCAGGAAACACAGCAAUGAUUUCAUUGAAAUGGAAAUUAAGACUGCUGCCUUGGCACCUUGGAUUCCUCAUGAUUCUGAAUCAACAGACUAAGAAGGGAGUUACUGUGCAGAUUUGGUGAUAGAUCCCAAUUACCAAGGGGAAAUUGGAUUACUAUUCCACUAUAAAGACACAAAUGGAAACACUCGCUCUUUGGUCUCCUGGUUGCUGACUUACUGUGCAGAUAUUGGGAUUUGCCUGCCUCUAUAAUAG